rnacentral:rRNA from 1 species
UACGUAGGGGGCAAGCGUUGUCCGGAUUUAUUGGGCGUAAAGCGCGUGUAGGCGGCAAGGUGAGUCGUGCGUGAAAUCUCCCGGCUUAACUGGGAGGGGCCGUGCGAAACUGCCUCGCUUGAGGUCGGAAGGGGAAAGUGGAAUUCCGGGUGUAGUGGUGGAAUACGUAGAUAUCCGGAGGAACACCAGCGGCGAAGGCGGCUUUCUGGUCCGAUUCUGACGCUGAGACGCGAAAGCGUGGGGAGCGAUCCGG